CUAUUACAAUUGUGUCAGAAUCGUCGAUCACUGAGCAGUGCGGACGAAGCUAUACAACCUACAUAGCUCCGUCCCUCUUGCACUGCUCAAUGAUUGACGAUUCUGACACAAUUGUAAUAG
rnacentral:pre_miRNA from 1 species